UUGUGAGACAUCAGUGCCUAAAAGCUUGACAGCCCACGUGGUCGGCCUGAUGCACUGACAAGCCCGAAUUAAUGAUGGAUAGCAAAAAAGCCUCUCUGGUAGACCUCAGCUGAAUUCUGGAUUCGAUACAAUGGUUUCUAGAGGUACAAAAAGAUAAACUGGACUGUAAAGGAAGGUGGACUUGCAGCUCCAAAUAUAAAAAUAGCUGACGAGCCUGUUUAUUUCAUCUGCCUGUUACUUGACACCAGAUGGUUAUUCCAAUACGUGUGCAAGGUCCUUCCCAUGUUACAGCUCUGUUGGUUUCGGCUGCGCCUCCAUCUAUUUCAGGAUGUUUGACUUUCUUCUGGUUCCUUGCCUAGAUCGUUUCUCCUGGUUUGGGAGGUCUGAGUGUCUUUAAAGAUUUUCUUGACUUUUGUUUCUGUGAGGAAGAAGCAAUGCAGUUUACAGGAUCACAGUGUUCAGUAAUGUGAGAGGGGGAAAAUGCCUAUUCUGCACUUGCCCUGCUCGAAUGACAGACUCAGGAUUUCCUAGUGAACUAUUCUUCUGGAGCCUUGACUGAAAAAUCUCACCUCAGAAUGGAAGGCAGGAGCACAAGCUGGGCAUCAAUGUGACCAAACACGGGGAAUCGAGGAAUAAUUAAAUAAGAGAGCGCUGAAGAGGCAUGCUGCAGCAGUGGGCUCUGCAACAGAUUACAGUACAGUAAGUGAUCAAUACUUGGGCCACCAUCAAAUGGAGAAUCAGCCACAACUGCUACAAUAUUUCGGUUCUUCUCACCGAUAUCGCUUCUCAAUAAACUGGAAGCAGGUCAGUUAUCGCUGGGCCAGUGGCUGAAGCAUGGCGCCCGACUGUCACUUUUAACAGGCCAGAAGCAGAGCUCCUACCUUUUAGAGUCGCGACCUGAGACAGCGCCUGGGCGUACGUGGCUGUGUUGAGGAGAGUCCCGGGCAGGCAGGACGGGAAGAACGGACCGCCGGGACCCACAGUCCUGUUUAUGCUUGAAAAGAAAACAUGAGAGGGGCUUAAAUUGAAGGACUGAAUGCCAUGACACGAUAACCAGACGAGUCGACGAGGUUCAGGGAGUGCUUCCGGAAGCCGGGCUCCAGCUGCGCACUCUGCUGAACAGUUUAGCGCUCCCUAUUCCAGUCCGCCUUGCUAUAUACAGGGUCAUCACCGUCUAACCCUGCUGGCUAGUGGCAGCCACAGCUAACUGCAACCAUAUCGUCGUACUGCUUGAGCACAACGUU